GGCACCUCGAAGGUCCUCAGGCAUCCCCAAGCCCACAGUAGAUGGGAAUGGCACAGCUCCCCUCGCAAGCCAGGGACCAGGGAAGACCCAGCGCCCACCCCCCAGCACCACCAGAGCUUGCAGUCACUUCUAAAAAUGUCUAAACACCAAGGGUGGAAUUCAGAAGCCAAAAGCUCCCCCCAGUAAAAAAGCCUUGAUGUCCUGAACUGAACCCAAAAUGUGACGAUGUAGCCUAGACUGAGCAGAGCUGCCCUGUGGUCCUGGGACUCUAUCAAUCUCACAGGAGCAACCGCAGGCUGACGCCCCAGGGAGUUUCCUUCCAGAAGACGCUCACCCCACCUUCCCCACAACCUGCAUCCUCCUAAUAAUCAUCACAGCACCGUCUCCACUGAGCAAGACUCAUGUGCAGAUGUGGUUCCAGGGAUGGAACCUCAGGAUAGAAAUCUAGAUGGAGUUUGCUGAUCAGGUGAGAUCCGGAGGUGUGAACGGUCUGCAGCGCACAGCCGCAGCUAUCACUUGGGGUUACCUUGAUGCUUUGAUGACCAAGCGGCCCCCACGAACCAGGGCAGAAAACUUGCAGAGCCAGGGCCUGGGACGGAGAACCCCAGGGCUACGAAUCCCUCCCCGGGCCUCUGCAGGACAGACAGCCAUGCUGCCUGAAGGAAGCCCUUCUCCCCAGCAGCCCAAGGGUCACAGUGCCUGGAAACCAGUCUCUCGGCCUGGGCUGCCUCAGGGUGCCCAGCAAUGCCCCUGGAGCCCUGGCCCUGCGGGGUCUGGGCUGGCAAAGGGGCAGCCUUGGAAGAAGGCGGGGCAGAGUCCGGGAAGGGGAGGCCACUGACCCCCGGCUCUUCUGGGCACCUCUCACUCCCAACCCCUGUCCACCGGCUCCUUGUCUGCAGCACCUGUGCCCCCGCGGCCUCUCAUUGCUUUGGAACUGGAAACCCACCUAAAAUCUCCGGGGCCCAGGGGUCAAGUACAAACUGUGACCCAAGGGGACAGACCCCCGCACACAAGAAGACCUGCAGGAUUGCACACUGUUUAUGGACAGAGACAUGGGGGAUUUGUAGGGCGGUGACCCUAAGGGCCGCAGGCCAGGCUGCCCAGGGGGGACAGCUGCCCCGACGCUGGCUCUGCCUUUGUGGCAUUGGUUCGGGCGGUGAGAGCGGCUGGCAGUGUUCACGGAGCUGAUGGAAAUGCGGACAUCGCGGUUGCCUACAUUAAAUGGGAUCUGAAGGAAGGACGCCAAAGCUUAGGGAGAUAGGACUGUGGCAGGGGGUGGAUUUAUGUGCCCACCUGGUCAGGCCUGUUUCCCACCAGAGCCCAGAGAACAUCCCUUCCCCCGCCCUGAGACAGCCUCCCUUCCCACUUCCCAUGGGCACAGCAGUGGCCGGGGCGGUGCUGGCAGAGCCAGAGCGUGGCCCAGGCCCCUGGGGAAAGGUGCUCUGGGCCUGCAGGGCCACCCGCCAGGGCCUACCUCCGGCACGAGAGCUGGUGUGGACCCGCUCACAAACACAGCCCGUGAUCCUGGUGUUCCUGGGACCCCAGCAGACGGCCGACUCGAAUCUCACUUGAUUUGUAUAAUGAAGGGAACAACACCAAAAAGCCUGGAAAUGAAUAAAAACAAUGUGAAACCACCUGCAAGUCUGAUGGAGAUUUGACCUGCGCCAGUUCAGAGGCCCGAGACUGCCUGUGUGGAUGCGGCCACGCCACCAGAGCUGUGUACUGCCCGCCUCCUUCCUAACCUGCCCCAGAGGACCGACCAUCCGGGGCCACUGGCCAGCACGGCCAUACACCCUAGGACACACACCUGGGCCUCUUGGUGACUUCUGCAUGGUAGCUCAGGAGGGCCACAGGGGCCCACGAUCAGGAUGGGAAGCAGGGGAAGCAGGUGCCAGGAGUCUGGGCUCAAAACCUUGGGAGUCGGGCAUGGUGACCUGGUGGGACAGCUAGACCCUGUCGGAAUCAGUGAAUCAUCAUGCACUCACCAGCUGGUCCCAGAUGUGGUUUCUUUAGUGGGAAAAGGUCAGCCCAUCCUUUCUUGCUGAUUUGUGGCUCAUGAUCUGGGAGCCCAGUGGAGGCUGCCGCACAUAUGGCUUCACCCGGACAGAGCCACACUCUACUGAAGCCCUACUGUGUGCUCGGAAGGCCCUCGGCCACCAUCGUGCCUGCGGGUGACACCCCUGGACACGCGGGCCACUGCACUGAGCUGACGGGUAGUCCUAAUAGAAGGGAAGUGGUCACCGCUCCACUUCAGAGACAGGAAUGCCUGGGAUCUGGAACGUUCUCUGGGCUUUUCAGACUCUCCUUCCUGUGGCUAAAGAAAAGUCGUGGUCCACCUGGGGGAGAGGGGAUUUUUUUUGGAAGAGGGUCUUUAAAGAGCUAAUCAACUUAA